rnacentral:rRNA from 1 species
UACGUAGGGGGCAAGCGUUGUCCGGAUUUACUGGGCGUAAAGAGCUCGUAGGCGGUUCCGUAAGUCAGAUGUGAAAACUCAGGGCUCAACCCGGAGACGCCAUCUGAUACUGCGGUGACUGGAGUCUGGUAGGGGAACACGGAAUUCCUGGUGUAGCGGUGGAAUGCGCAGAUAUCAGGAGGAACACCAAUAGCGAAGGCAGCUCGCUGGGACGGUACUGACGCUGAGGCGCGAAAGCGUGGGGAGCGAACAGG